rnacentral:rRNA from 1 species
AUUGAACGCUGGCGGCAUGCCUUACACAUGCAAGUCGAGCGAGUGGCGAACGGGUGAGUAAUGCAUGGGAAUCUACCCGAUAGAGGGGGAUAACUACUGGAAACGGUAGCUAAUACCGCAUAUUAUCGGAUCGACCAAUCUGUGAUUAGCUGGUGGGCGGGGUAAAGGCUCACCUAGGCGACGAUCUGUAGCGGGUCUGAGAGGAUGAUCCGCCACACUGGGACUGAGACACGGCCCAGACUCCUACGGGAGGCAGCAGUGGGGAAUAUUGGACAAUGGGCGCAAGCCUGAUGCAGCCAUGCCGCGUGUAUGAAGAAGGCCUUAGGGUUGUAAAGGACUUUUGGCAGGGAAGCGGUACCUGAAGAAUAAGCACCGGCUAACUACGUGCCAGCAGCCGCGGUAAUAC